UUUUUAUUCGUGUAAAAACACUUUUUUGAAAACAAAAUCAUCCUCUUAUCUUUUAUGGCAAGGCUGCUGUGUUUAUACUUCAGAAGUACAAAGGGUAAACAGAAAAAAUUCCUAAUUUAAAAAGUGGAGAAAGGCAGUGUAAAUUAAUGUUACUUUUUUAGCAUCUUAAUGCAAAAGUGGCUAAAUGCAAUUUCAAUUUUCUAAAAAUUCUGAUGUGCACUACUUUGUUCCAUAAGUCUGGGGGUAACUCUAUGAUAUUGGCAGGAAUUUAAUGAUCUGUACAUAUUUCUGGAAAACCAGGUUAAUAUUUUUGCUAAAGUAGAUUCUAUGUAUGAAUAUAAUAAGCACCCUAGGGAAAAAAUUGUUAUACCAUGGAAGAAGCUUUAUCUCAGAGUGAAUAAAUGGGUUCUUUCCUAUUUUACCCUCAAGCUGUGAAUUAACAAUUUCUAGCUAGAGGGCUGCCAGGUUGGAAUUAGUAUUCCACUUUGAUGAG
rnacentral:lncRNA from 1 species